GGUGCAGCUCCCGUGACCUGUUAUUAUCAUCCUUUAAGCCCUACAUCUGAAUGGUUCCACUGGUUCAGCACCAUUCCCUGCAGAAUGAACUCCCCAUAAGGGAACCUGUCAGGGACAUAAGAUAUCCAAAUGACAGCAGUCUUCAUAGAAGAAAGUGCUUACAAUGAAAUACUGAAAUGAACUGGGUGAGGUAUGGUGGAUAUAAUUUUAAUGAAGUAAAAGUCACAAGAAUUAGAAUGAACUGCUAAUGCACAGCUGAGAACACGUCUAUAAGGCAAGCCCUUCAACAUGAAAUCCCUCAUGCUGUAAUUUCCUAACCCUGUGUAGGACAUAGGAGGACGCCCACAUACUCAGGAGUUGGAGUUAGCGGAUGUUGUAAUCCAUCCUGACAUGGCUCCUGGGAGCAGAAUUCAGAUCCUCGCUGCUGAAGGAGGAAGCUUCUAUGACAGCUGCUAGGCAAGGCACUGAUCCACUGUCCCUUUUGUCAGCCUGAAGCCAUUAAGACAGGCGUGCUUUCAGUACUCAGAACUCGGCCAUCUGGACUGAAGCCUUCUCUGCACCAAUUAUCACCUCUGCCCCAUCAGCUCUCUCUCAAAAUGCCUUCAGGAAAUUUCAGAUCAGCUGACCAUCUGUCAGGACCAACUCGAUCUUUUGGCUGCUGCCGUUCUGUAGAACUAGACCUGACUACUGCUCAGGGAUACGUGACAGCAAUGGUGUGAUCCAUCACAGAAGGUCAAGUUAAAACUCUCCUCCUAAUAAAAGACCAGAGGACCCCCUCUUCCUGACCCCCUGAACAGGAAGUCUCCAUGAUGGGUUCAUUCCCCAGAUGUCAACACAAUUUUCAUAGAACUACUAAUUAUUUUAAUUUCCCUGAUUCAAGAGUCACUUUAAUAAUCUGACUGCAAUAAUACAAGUGGCCUUCCUAGGCUUCAUGAGCAGCGCACAGUGUAUUAUUAUUAUUGGUGAAUGAAGGGACACCCAUGGAAUGGGGAAACACCUGUAAGUCACGCACCUGAUAAGAACCUGGCACUCUGAAUAUACAAAGAGCUACUCUAACUCAACAAUCAAAAAUAAACAUGACUUGAAAAUUGGCUAAGCAUCUGGAGCCCUUUCUUGAAAGAUGCAUGAGUAAAUGGACAAUAAGCACUCAAAGGUACAGCUAGCAGCAUUGAAAAGUGGACAUGUGGAUCCAAGCCACAUCAUAGAAGAACUCACGGGGCACCUUCCCCACCAGAGGGGAGGUGUACACCCCGCCUGGGAGGGUUCUGCCAGAGCACC
rnacentral:lncRNA from 1 species